AAUGGACGGAAGUCUGAACCAGCCAUCCCGCGUGCAGGAUGAAGGUCCUAUGGAUUGUAAACUGCUUUUAGCAGAGACGAAGACCCAUCAUUUAUGGUGGAGUGACGGUAUCUGCGGAAUAAGCACCGGCUAACUCCGUGCCAGCAGCCGCGGUAAUACGGAGGGUGCAAGCGUUAUCCGGAAUCACUGGGUUUAAAGGGUGCGUAGGCGGAGAAUUAAGUCAGUGGUGAAAUCCUGUCGCUUAACGAUAGAACUGCCAUUGAUACUGAUUUUCUUGAAUUGGAUUGAGGUUAGCGGAAUGUGACAUGUAGCGGUGAAAUGCAUAGAUAUGUCAUGGAACACCAAUUGCGAAGGCAGCUAACUGGGCCUUGAUUGACGCUGAGGCACGAAAGCGUGGGUAGCGAA
rnacentral:rRNA from 1 species